GGCCUUUAGCCUAACAAGUAUUAAAGGUCCAGCCUGCCCAGUGACCCACUUUAAACGGCCGCGGUACUCUAACCGUGCAAAGGUAGCGUAAUCACUUGCCCUCUAAAUAGGGGCUUGUAUGAAAGGCCAAAUGAGGGCCCAACUGUCUCCUGUGGCAACCCAAUGAAACUGUUCUCCUAGUACAAAAACUAGGAUACACACAUAAGACGAGAAGACCCUGUGGAGCUUUUAAAUACACCACCAACCCACACCACCCAUGGUGUAAACUUUUAGUUGGGGCGACUACGGAGCAAUACAGAACCUCCAUGAAACCACGGACUCGAAUCCACCCUAGGCCAACAUGCCGAAGGCACUAAUAACGCUCGACCCAGCACAGCUGAUCAUCGAACCAAGUUACCCCAGGGAUAACAGCGCCAUCCCCCUCAAGAGUCCCUAUCGCCAGGGGGGUUUACGACCUCGAUGUUGGAUCAGGACACCCAGGUGGUGUAGCCGCUGCCAACGGUUCGUUUGUUCAACGACUAACGUCCUACGUG
rnacentral:rRNA from 1 species